CGUAAUGUUCUAACUAUUAUGUAGCAGGGAGACUAGUUUCGUUGCAAUACAAUGUUCCCCGUGUAGUUACUAUACUGAACUAUCAGUGUUACCAAUAAUUCAUUACAAUGUUUAUUUGGUCUCGUCGUGACUGUGCGUGCCAGUUGAAAGUGAAGUUUUUUAAACACGAAGUUUUACAUUAAUAUGGAUCCCAGUUCCGCCACACACCUCGACUGCAGUGGCGCGUCAAUGCAGCACUUGAUUCGGAACCCAUUUUAAAUAAGAGCACGGGCCUGGACCGUACUAUUGUACGUAACAAAAUAAAGUUCGAAGCAUAGCUGAGGGUGUGCUUGAACAAAUUAUGUUUUCUCUCCUUAGAAGCCUUGAUAUCAUGAAAGUGAAUUAUAAUACCCUCAAUAACGUAGUUGACCAUGAUAAAGCUAUUCUUCCAUACAAUCUAUAUGUUGAAACAGAAUAAAGACAAGCCCUGUCAGAUUUAAUCAAGGAAGUCGGCAACGAGACUGGCAGAACGAUCAUUUUGAUAAUGAAGACUUGGUUCUAUAACUUUGUAAAAUUAGUAUAAAAUUUUGGAUUUAAUUUUUAUUUUUUUAGGUACACAUGUUUUAGUUAUUAAACUGUAUUGAAGUAAUAAUAAUAUACUGUCACAUCCGCUUCUUUCGAAACCUACUUAGUGAUAAAUAUGUACAUAUAGUUAGUGACAGUAUGUAAUAUAAGUUUUUUAACCAAAGUUUGUGUACCUAUACCUUUUAAAAAGUAUUAUUUAUAAAAAUAAUACUUUUUAAAAGGUUUAAAUUCUUAUUAUAUAAAAAACUAGCGGACGCCCGCGACUUCGUCCGCGUAAAAAUUGAUGUAAACUUCUCUACCUCUACCUUAUCCUGCUCGUAAACCUACCCAACUCUACCCUACCCUACCCCUACCUUACUCCUACCCUACCGCUAACGCUAACCCUUCCUUCCCCCCACCUUACCCUACCCUAACCCUACCCGUAACCUAUCCAUACCCUAUCCUACCCUACCCCUAAUCUACCCCUACCCUACCCCUACCUUAUUCCUACCCUACCGCUAACCCUAACCCUUCCCUACCCCUACCUUAUCCCUACCCUAACCCUACCCUACCCGUAACCUACCCCUACCCUACCCUACCCCUAUCCUACUCCUCCCCUACCCUAUACGUUCCAUAUCCUUCCCCUACCUCUACCUCUCCCCUACCCUACACUACCCCUACCUUAUCCGUACCCUACCCUACCCUACCCUACACUUUCCCUAAAUUACCCCUACCCUACCUCUAUCCUACCCCUUCCCUACCUCUAUCCUAUCCCUACCCUCAGCAAAAUUGGUCCAGCCUUUUGUGCGUGGUGCAAUGACAAAAAGACUAUAAUUUCUAAUACUAAUACUAUAAAGAGGUAAAGUUUGUGUGGUUGUCGGGGGUAAUCUCUGGAUCUACUGGACCGAUUUGGAAAAUUCUUUUACCAAUAGAAAGCUACAUUAUUUGCGAGUGUCAUAGGCUAUGUUUGGUCCUCAUAUUCAUACGGGAACGGGAACCACGUAAUUGAAACCGCGGGGCGUCAAAUAGCGGCAUUUCUGCGACUUUCAGAAAUUUUGUAUUAUCUCCGAAACUAUAUAACUAAUUAACAUACUGUAAAGGGCAAAUCUUAUCUCUAUAAUAUCCUUGUGAUUAUUAAAUAAUUUAUUUUGAUAAGGAUUUAAGUUUAGUUGUGUAAAUAAUGACGUAAACCUUAGUUUAAAAUUUAAAUAAUUUAUUAAAGUACUAAAGGUACUAUAUCUGCUAAAAUAUAAAAGAUAGAUAUAUGGUGUCGCGGACUUUUUUGUAGAACUUUUAAAGGUUCAAAAAGCCUCCAUACAUUUAUUUCAGUUAUACGCAAUGGUUGAGGCAGCGCAUGCGAAUAAGUAAGUUUUUCGGUCUGACCUGUAAGAGAAAACCCGCGAUCUCUCAGUAGUUAUAUAUGAUAUAAAUAUAAAAUAUAGCCUAUAGCACUCCCCGAUAACGUAGCAUUCUAUUGGUGAAAGAAUUUUUAAAAUCGGUCCAGUAGUUCCGAAGAUUACCCCAUUUCAAAAAAUUGUUACAAACUUACAAACUUACAAACUUACAAACUUUACCUCUUUAUAAUAUUAGUAUAGAUAUAUAUUUUACUGUCCAUUUUUACCCUACUUUCAAUAAUGUUAAAAGUUUUUGAUUUAUUUUUUUUUUAAUUCUGAACGAUAUGCAGUCAUAGUAUGGGUUGGCAGUAACAUCAAACCUAGCUAGAGUCUGUGAUAAUCUUAAGUCCAGCUCGAACCCAGGACUUUGUAAGCCACAUAGGCGAACCACUGGAUGCAGUGGAAGCUAUUCAGGUGAACAUUAUUGUUUCUAUUUUUCCAGCAUAGCUGAGGGUUUGCUUGAAUAUCUUACGUUAUCUAAACGUGUACUUAUUCGAGCCU